rnacentral:rRNA from 1 species
ACACCGGCAGCUCUAGUGGUAGCAACUUUUAUUGGGCCUAAAGCGUCCGUAGCCGGUUUAAUAAGUCUCUGGUGAAAUCCUGUAGCUUAACUGUGGGAGUUGCUGGAGAUACUAUUAGACUUGAGACCGGGAGAGGUUGGAGGUACUCCCAGGGUAGAGGUGAAAUUCUGUAAUCCUGGGAGGACCGCCUGUUGCGAAGGCGUCUAACUGGAACGGUUCUGACGGUGAGGGACGAAAGUUAGGGGCGCGAACCGGAUUAGAUACCCGGGUAGUCCUAACUGUAAACGAUGCGGACUUGGUGUUGGGGUGGCUUUGAGCUGCUCCAGUGCCGAAGGGAAGCUGUUAAGUCCGCCGCCUGGGAAGUACGGUCGCAAGACUGAAACUUAAAUGAAUUGGCGGGG